UACGUAGGGUGCGAGCGUUGUCCGGAAUUAUUGGGCGUAAAGGGCUCGUAGGCGGUUUGUCGCGUCGGGAGUGAAAACACCGGGCUUAACUCGGUGCUGGCUUUCGAUACGGGCAGACUAGAGGUAUUCAGGGGAGAACGGAAUUCCUGGUGUAGCGGUGAAAUGCGCAGAUAUCAGGAGGAACACCGGUGGCGAAGGCGGUUCUCUGGGAAUUACCUGACGCUGAGGAGCGAAAGUGUGGGGAGCGAACAGG
rnacentral:rRNA from 1 species